GUUUUCGGACCUCUGAGGGGAAGCUCUGCCGGAGGUGAGUUGUUUCUCUGCUUUAGAGAGCCUGGGUGCAGUUUCUCCUGGUGGUAGAGUUGUGAACUAAACAUGCCGUUGGUGCUCUCUGUGGCUGUGGAGUCCUUGUGUUCCCAGCAUGGGUGGGAUAGCUGUCAUGCUGCUAGGGCAGAGGCUGAAGUGCUGCAAAGAUGAAACCACUGAACUCUCUCUUUCUGAUGGUUGAGUGGAGAAAGCCUGUGUGAGAUUCUGAGUGGCACUGAGUUCCAGGCCCAGGUCCAAGCUGUGCCCUCAGGCAAAGAGCAUGUGUGUAGGGUACAACCUCGGGCUGGGGUGUUGAGUAUGUUGCUCAUGUGAAGCACCAAGUACAGCUGAGCGCCUGACUCUGUCUUUCCAGGUGUGGAAGCAGUCAGCCAUGYGCCUCCAUGGUUCCUUUGCAGGUGAGCACCUAAGCUUUUCUUCCAUGUCAUGACAAAACAGAUGCAGCCUUUGAGGGUGGGGCAAUAGGAUUUUUCUCCAAGUAGGAGCAAGCACUGUUGUUGCAGCCUUAUCUGCAGGUAGAGGAGGCGGAGCAAGCUUGGGCUGGAGGAGAGCUUGAGGAUCUYRUGGGAGGAGAGCUUGCACAAGCCCMCSUCCUCGUGGGGAAGGUGGCUGGGGYGGUCUCGUAGUGAUGCUCUUGAAAGCUGCCCGCUGGCUUGGCAGUGGAGGAGCACGGCCUUGCUGCAGGCUUUCAGGUCACGGCUGCUCCCUUGCUGUUCAGUGACGAAUGAAAACAGACAAGCAUAUGGCUGAGCGUCUGUGAUGCCAGCUUUUCUCCUGAGAACCAUGGAGCAGAGGUGGUCUAGGGAGCGGGUCAUGUAGGGCUUGGGGCGGAGGAUCGCAAAUAACACCCACUGUCUCUUUCAGCGCUGCGCUGCAGGUCUCGGGGAGCGGCCUGGGCAUCUCUGUCUGCAGCCCCGUUGCUGAUGGCGCUAGGAAAUGGAGCCUGAAGCUGCGCUUGGCCUGCCGCCUGCCCGAGUCCUGCCGCAUGGGAUGAAGGCUGGGGGCCGGGGGCACCCGGCAAAGCUCUGAGCAGCCCGAGCGAAUGGCGUCUGACUGAGGUGGCUGGAGGCAGUGGGCGGCAGCAGCUGGUGAGUGCGGGCGCGGGAUGGGGCUGGGUCCUGCUGCUGCCCUGGCCGAGGAUGAGACGAUACCGCCCCAGUCUGAUGCCCGUGACUGAGUGGUUCCCCCUGAGGCUGGUGGCGGGGGGCUUCUGUGGCGGGGGGUUUCUUCCACAGGGGGUAACGGCUGCCUUGUCCUGCCUGCAGGGCUGAGUCCGCGGGAGUUGUCGCUGCGCUGCCUGGGAGUCCCUGGAGCCCGCUGGGCCCUGCUGUCCUUCGCCCUUCCCAGGAUGGCUGCUGUGUGCUGCUGGAGAAGAGCUGCUGCCUGCGUGUG
rnacentral:lncRNA from 1 species